UACAGAGGUGGCAAGCGUUGUUCGGAAUUACUGGGCGUAAAGGGCGCGUAGGCGGCCCGAUAAGUCCCGCGUGAAAGCCCCCGGCUCAACUGGGGAACUGCGCGGGAAACUAUCGGGCUUGAGUUCGGGAGAGGGAAGCGGAAUUCCGGGUGUAGCGGUGAAAUGCGUAGAUAUCCGGAGGAACACCGGUGGCGAAGGCGGCUUCCUGGACCGACACUGACGCUGAGACGCGAAAGCGUGGGGAGCAAACAGG
rnacentral:rRNA from 1 species